UACGUAUGGAGCAAGCGUUAUCCGGAUUUACUGGGUGUAAAGGGAGCGUAGACGGCGUGGCAAGUCUGAUGUGAAAGGUGGGGGCUCAACCCCCAGACUGCAUUGGAAACUGCCGUGCUGGAGUGCCGGAGGGGUAAGCGGAAUUCCUAGUGUAGCGGUGAAAUGCGUAGAUAUUAGGAGGAACACCGGCGGCGAAGGCGGCUUACUGGACGGCAACUGACGUUGAGGCUCGAAAGCGUGGGGAGCAAAC
rnacentral:rRNA from 1 species